AUUGAACGCUGGCGGAAUGCUUUACACAUGCAAGUCGAACGGCAGCACGGACUUCGGUCUGGUGGCGAGUGGCGAACGGGUGGGUAAUGUAUCGGAACGUGCCCAGUCGUGGGGGAUAACGUAGUGAAAAUUACGCUAAUACCGCAUACGAUCUAUGGAUGAAAGCGGGGGAUCGCAAGACCUCGCGCGAUUGGAGCGGCCGAUAUCAGAUUAGGUAGUUGGUGGGGUAAAGGCCCACCAAGCCAACGAUCUGCAGCUGGUCUGAGAGGACGACCAGCCACACUGGAACUGAGACACGGUCCAGACUCCUACGGGAGGCAGCAGUGGGGAAUUUUGGACAAUGGGCGAAAGCCUGAUCCAGCCAUUCCGCGUGCAGGAUGAAGGCCCUCGGGUUGUAAACUGCUUUUGUACAGAACGAAAAGGUUUCUACUAAUACUAGGAGCUCAUGACGGUACUGUAAGAAUAAGCACCGGCUAACUACGUGCCAGCAGCCGCCGUAA
rnacentral:rRNA from 1 species